CGGCCUGCUGCGGCAGGAAAGGCGGGUCGCCGGAUAAACUGACGAGCUCCGGCUUUCCAGGUAGAUACCCAGAUUCAGCCAGAAGAGGAGACCGUUGGGAGAAGCAGGCAAAGGAGGAUGCUAAUCCUGGAAACCAGUCUCUGCAGGAUGAAAAUUGAGGGUGCACCUUCCCUUCUAUCUUGCAAAGGGAAUUGGAAUUGAACUGGAUUUCAUCGCCAUCCAUAAUCAGACUGCAGCCUUAAUCUUGCUGAAUCUUAAACACAGCCCCGGUUGGGAUCUGUAAUGAGCCUUGAUUUU